AACGAACGCUGGCGGCAUGCCUAACACAUGCAAGUCGAACGAGACCUUCGGGUCUAGUGGCGCACGGGUGCGUAACGCGUGGGAACCUGCCCUUAGGUUCGGAAUAACUCCCCGAAAGGGGUGCUAAUACCGGAUAAUGUCUUCGGACCAAAGAUUGAUCGCCUUUGGAUGGGCCCGCGUUGGAUUAGCUAGUUGGUAGGGUAAAAGCCUACCAAGGCGACGAUCCAUAGCUGGUCAGAGAGGAUGAUCAGCCACACUGGGACUGAGACACGGCCCAGACUCCUACGGGAGGCAGCAGUGGGGAAUAUUGGACAAUGGGCGAAAGCCUGAUCCAGCUAUGCCGCGUGAGUGAUGAAGGCCGUAGGGUAGUAAAGCUCUUUUACCCGGGAUGAUAAUGACAGUACCGGGAGAAUAAGCUCCGGCUAACUCCGUG
rnacentral:rRNA from 1 species